rnacentral:rRNA from 1 species
UCUCCUGGAAAACGGGUGGUAAUGCCGGAUGCUCCAGUUGGAUGCAUGUCCUUCUGGGAAAGAUUCAUCGGUAUGGGAUGGGGUCGCGUCCUAUCAGCUUGAUGGCGGGGUAACGGCCCACCAUGGCUUCGACGGGUAGCCGGCCUGAGAGGGCGACCGGCCACAUUGGGACUGAGAUACGGCCCAGACUCCUACGGGAGGCAGCAGUGGGGAAUAUUGCACAAUGGGCGCAAGCCUGAUGCAGCGACGCCGCGUGCGGGAUGACGGCCUUCGGGUUGUAAACCGCUUUUGACUGGGAGCAAGCCCUUCGGGGUGAGUGUACCUUUCGAAUAAGCACCGGCUAACUACGUGCCAGCAGCCGCGGUAAUACGUAGGGUGCAAGCGUUAUCCGGAAUUAUUGGGCGUAAAGGGCUCGUAGGCGGUUCGUCGCGUCCGGUGUGAAAGUCCAUCGCUUAACGGUGGAUCCGCGCCGGGUACGGGCGGGCUUGAGUGCGGUAGGGGAGACUGGAAUUCCCGGUGUAACGGUGGAAUGUGUAGAUAUCGGAAA